AGCAGAGAAUGUAGAAAUUAGGGCUUGACUCGGUAUGAGAGAUUUAGGCUCUUGUAUAAGAUAUUAAGGGUAUGAGAGAUUUAGGCUCUUGACUCGAACAACUUAGUUGAUUCCUAAGGAGAGAGGAGAAACCCAGAUAGGUAGAGAAGAAACCUAGCUAACCCAUCUCCUCUCUAAUUGAAACAUCGAAUUUUGGCUAAGGAAGAGAGGUUAAACCCAAUUGAUCUCUAUUCUAUGCAUUCCAGACCACGCACGAACACAACUCAGU
rnacentral:lncRNA from 1 species